AGUGAACGCUGGCGGUAGGCCUAACACAUGCAAGUCGAACGGCAGCACAGUAAGAGCUUGCUCUUACGGGUGGCGAGUGGCGGACGGGUGAGGAAUACAUCGGAAUCUACUUUUUCGUGGGGGAUAACGUAGGGAAACUUACGCUAAUACCGCAUACGACCUACGGGUGAAAGCAGGGGAUCUUCGGGCCUUGCGCGAUUGAAUGAGCCGAUGUCGGAUUAGCUAGUUGGCGGGGUAAAGGCCCACCAAGGCGACGAUCCGUAGCUGGUCUGAGAGGAUGAUCAGCCACACUGGAACUGAGACACGGUCCAGACUCCUACGGGAGGCAGCAGUGGGGAAUAUUGGACAAUGGGCGCAAGCCUGAUCCAGCCAUACCGCGUGGGUGAAGAAGGCCUUCGGGUUGUAAAGCCCUUUUGUUGGGAAAGAAAAGCAGCAGGUUAAUACCCCGCUGUUCUGACGGUACCCAAAGAAUAAGCACCGGCUAACCUCGUG
rnacentral:rRNA from 1 species